rnacentral:rRNA from 1 species
GUCCCGCAACGAGCGCAACCCUUGCCUUUAGUUGCCAGCAGUUCGGCUGGGCACUCUAAAGGGACUGCCGGUGUUAAACCGGAGGAAGGUGGGGAUGACGUCAAGUCCUCAUGGCCUUUAUGACCAGGGCUACACACGUACUACAAUGGCCGAUACAAAGGGCAGCGACACUGCGAGGUGAAGCCAAUCCCGUAAAAUCGGUCUCAGUCCGGAUUGGAGUCUGCAACUCGACUCCAUGAAGUUAGAAUCGCUAGUAAUCGCGCAUCAGCAUGGCGCGGUGAAUACGUUCCCGGGCCUU